rnacentral:misc_RNA from 1 species
CCGGUGAACGUGAACGGGCUCGGAUUGUUGCACAACACCCGCCGCACGCCGGGGACGACCUCGUCCACGACGCCGGGCGCAAGCGGGAAAUCCCGAUUGAACGGAAUGUCUUCGUUAUCGCUCAAGUUCAGCCCUCGCCUGGCAAGGCGUUACGAAAACGCCUGAAUGCCGGUGAUGGCGCGGCCGAGAAUGAGGGCGUGAACGUCGUGGGUNAGGUGUUCACGGUCUCGAGGUUCUGCGCGUGACGCAUCACAUGGUAUUCGCUCGAAAUGCCNGCUGGAAAUGCCGUUGCCGCCAUGCAUGUCGCGGGCAACGCGGGCGAUGUCGAGGGCCUUG